GGAAGGAUGCCGGAGAUGGCUUAUCGGCUCUGUUUGGAAAACAGAUGGUCCAGAAAUGGGCACCCGGGUUCGAAUCCCGGUCCUUCCG
rnacentral:tRNA from 1 species